rnacentral:misc_RNA from 1 species
CCACUCUCAAUUGUCUUCUUCCUCAUUUUCCUAUUUAACAAAACUCAAUUUCGCAUUUCGAAUUCCUCAAACUGAAUUUUGUUCAUAGAGAUUAUCGAUUAUCGAGUUGAGUUCAGAAUUUCGAUUCACCGGAGCUAUGUCACUGAGGCCGAACUCGAGAACGGAGGCUCGCCGGAGCAGGUACAAAGUUGCCGUCGAUGCGGAGGAAGGACGGAGAAGAAGGGAAGAUAACAUGGUUGAGAUCCGGAAGAAUAAAAGAGAAGAGAAUUUGCUUAAGAAGCGUCGUGAAGGUUUACUACAAGCUCAGCAGUUUCCUAGCACUGCUGCUGUUUCUCACCUUGAUAAGAAGCUGGAGACUCUUCCUGAAUUGAUUGCUGGGGUUUGGUCUGAUGACAGCAGUUUGCAACUUGAAUGUACAACACAAUUCCGGAAACUGCUUUCAAUUGAACGCAAUCCUCCUAUAGAGGAAGUGAUACAGUCUGGGGUAGUUCCUCGCUUUGUUGAAUUUCUUGCUCGAGAUGACUAUCCUCAACUGCAGUUUGAGGCAGCGUGGGCUCUUACAAAUAUUGCAUCUGGUACAUCAGAAAACACUAAAGUUGUGAUUGAUUAUGGUUCUGUCCCAAUUUUCAUCAGACUUCUAAGUUCACCAAGUGAUGAUGUCCGUGAACAGGCCGUUUGGGCUUUGGGAAAUAUUGCUGGUGACUCGCCCAAGUAUCGUGACCUUGUGCUUGGCCAUGGAGCUUUAGUGGCAUUGCUGGCACAAUUUAAUGAGCAGGCAAAGCUAUCUAUGUUGAGAAAUGCUACCUGGACAUUGUCAAACUUUUGUAGGGGAAAACCUCAGCCACUGUUCGAGCAGACAAAAG